rnacentral:rRNA from 1 species
AUGGGCAAUGGCAUCUCCAAAAAGACAUGCUUCUCCGGUGACACCUAUGCGCCGGUUGUCUCAUCGGACCCAUUACCCGGUGACAUCCAUGGGUACUCCUUCAAGUAUGUGCCAAUAGCCGUCGCCUUCGACAAGUCCUCAAUGGCUAAUGUGCUCUCAUCGAAAGCACCCUUCUUCUCUUUAUCCGGAGCGGCCAUCAGCGCCAACCAGGCGACAUCAUCAUCAAUGCCGUCGUUCUGCCUGCUUAAUGAGUUGAUGGGGCCGCAAUCAUCUGUGUGCAUCGUUAAGAGCUCAUGCUCCUUUGCCGCUGCACCGCUCCAGGCCACACCAGCAAGGUCGUCCUUGUCUAGACACUUCUUGGAUUCAUCCAGCACCCUAUCCACUAUCUCCAACCAGCUGCCACGGUCGGCCUUCAUGUCCGGCUCUCAGUGUUGCAAUGAGCGGCCUCUCGACAAAUCUUUGGCCACAGCCGACUCCAGGCUCGAUUUCAGGGUGCCACGCAAUAGCCUCCUAUCAAAGGAUCCUACUGAGUUUCCAAAUAUGGAUUCCUUCGGGGAUGGGGAUCACCGCUCCCCACCGAGCGAUAAUGUGCAGUGGGCUCGGGGCAUGGCCGGCGAGGACCGAUUCCAAGUGGCGGUCUCAGAGGAGCGUGGGUGGGUGUUCGUGGGGAUUUAUGACGGCUUCUUCGAUCCAGAUGCGACCGACUACCUCUUUGCAAACCUCCACGUCGCCGUGCACCACGCACUCAAGGGUGUGCUCUCGGAAAACAUGAAGUGCAAUGAGCCGACAGCCACUUCUAAUCAUCUCUUUUCCCUGAAUGGAGGCAAUCAGAGCCCGAAAUUUGAACGUAAGCCGGCGAAGAGGGGUCGGACAAAACAUCCGGAGAAGGACAAUUCUGCCAUGUCUGGGGGUGGCCCGAAGAUACACCAGAAAGUCCUCGGGGCAUUGGAUCAGGCGCUGAGGGAGACGGAGGAGGCAUUUUUCAAGGAAGCAGAGGAGGGUGCGACCGACAACCCAUAG